ensembl:lncRNA
UGCAUAAUUUAGGUCUCCUGAAACAUUGGAUCGAACUGGGGAUGAGUACUAUGUGUGUCUGAGGAGUUUUUUAUCUGAGGAAGUGAGAAUAGGCUCCUGUGCAAAGCCCUCAAUCUCCCAAAUGACUUAGGUAAAAUAAAAGGACCCUACUGCACAGAAUGGAGAAAUCUUAUGAAGAGAAGACAACUUUUGUCCCAGUUUUGGUUCUCCAAAGUGGACUGGCUGUGUCAUGCCAGGCCCUGAAACUCUCCUAGAACCCUGGGAUAAAGCUUGUGAGGACCAGCAAAUCUAAUUUGAAUUUUCUGUACCAUUUAUUUCUAAUUACAACCACAAGGCCUUUUGUCUUAAAAUCCAUAGUAAUUGCACAAACUACAUACUCUUUUAAGUGGGAACUGAAGGUUAAACGGUUAUUUUUUUGUUGGAAUUUCUUUCCAGUAACUCUUUGAAGACAUGCUCCAGCAUUUUCUUCCACUUUCUUCUGAU